GGGACCGCGGCGGGGGCGGGGGCGGCCAACCUCGCCUCCAGACCCCGCUGCGGCCCCGGAGUCACAGGCGCGCCUCCGCCUCCGGGGACUCUCCCGGGAGAGACCCGCGCGCUCCGGGCCUCGAGGAAGUGGCGGUUUCUGUUCCCACCUUCUGCUUUGCCUGCUUUGGUUGAGUUUGGGGACUCUACAAAUGGAAGAUUUGGAGACAAAAGUAUUUAGAAAAGAACUGUGCUUGAAAAAGAUCUGUUAAAAUCUCCACGUGCUAGAAGGACUACAUCAUCAAAAAUACAUGUAUCUAAAGAAUUUUGACAGUUGUAUUGCUGAGUGUCUACUUGCACAUCUGGUUUUGGCAACAUGGUGGACAAAGCUGAUAUGGAACAGAUCUGGAUAAAAAUGCCUAUAAAAGCUGGGUAAGUAAAUGAAUUAAAAAAAAGUCAUAAGUGAAAGAAAGGGUUGGGAAGACCCCUGGAGGAGGGCAUAGCAACCCACUCCAGUAUUCUUGCCUGGA
rnacentral:lncRNA from 1 species